AUUGAACGCUGGCGGCGUGCUUAACACAUGCAAGUCGAUCGGUAACGCGGGGGCAACCCUGGCGACGAGAGGCGGACGGGUGAGGAACGCUUGGGAAUCUGCCUAUCAGCGGGGGACAACACGGGGAAACUCGUGCUAAUACCGCAUACGCUCUACGGAGGAAAGCCGGGGACCGCAAGGCCUGGCACUGAUAGAUGAGCCCAAGCCGGAUUAGGUCGUUGGCGGGGUAACGGCCCACCAAGGCGACGAUCCGUAGCUGGUCUGAGAGGACGAUCAGCCACACUGGAACUGAGACACGGUCCAGACUCCUACGGGAGGCAGCAGUGGGGAAUAUUGGACAAUGGGGGAAACCCUGAUCCAGCGACGCCGCGUGGGUGAAGAAGGCCUGCGGGUUGUAAAGCCCUUUCGGUAGGGACGAAAGCUCUCGACCUAACACGUCGGGAGGUUGACUUAACCUACAGAAGAAGCACCGGCUAACUCUGUGCCAGCAGCCGCCGUAACAC
rnacentral:rRNA from 1 species